UACAGAGGGUGCAAGCGUUAAUCGGAAUUACUGGGCGUAAAGGGCGCGUAGGCGGGCGUUUAAGUUAAAUGUAAAAUACCUGGGCUUAACCUGGGGGUGUCAUUUAAUACUGAAGGUCUAGAGUAUAAUAGAGGGUGGCGGAAUUUCCGGUGUAGCGGUGAAAUGCGUAGAUAUCGGAAAGAACAUCAGUGGCGAAGGCGGCCACCUGGAUUAAUACUGACGCUGAGGCGCGAAAGCGUGGGGAGCAAACAGG
rnacentral:rRNA from 1 species